rnacentral:rRNA from 1 species
UACGUAGGGGCAAGCGUUGUCCGGAUUUAUUGGGCGUAAAGCGCGUGUAGGCGGCCAGGUAGGUCUGCUGUGAAAACUCGAGGCUCAACCUCGAGAUGUCGGCGGAAACCCUCUGGCUAGAGUCCGGAAGAGGAGAGUGGAAUUCCCGGGUGUAGCGGUGAAAUGCGCAGAUAUCGGGAAGAACGACCCGUGGCGAAGGCGGCUACUCUGGG